rnacentral:piRNA from 1 species
UGAACUCACUUGAGUAAAGGUUUUGUGCCAC